rnacentral:rRNA from 1 species
UAGGCAAUUCAAGAUAAUAUCUUAGCAGGUACAGAACUUAUCUCAGACAAUAGAUGAUAAUAAUCAAAUAUUGUAUAUAUUGGGGGAUCGUGAAGAUUUUACCAGUGAGUAUGCAGACUCGGAAUGGCAAAGAUAAAACUUGAAUGAUCAGACAUAGAAUGAUAAGGUUGUAUGUCAAAAGGGAAACAGCCCAGAACAAGAGUUAAGGUUCCUAAAUUAUUAGUUAAGUGAAAUGAAGAAUGUAUUUAUUAAAGUCGACAAGAAGAUAGGCUUAGAAGCAGCCAUAAUUUUAUGACCUCGUAACAGAGCACUUGUUAAGUUAUAAACAGCGUCAAUAAUUUAACGGAUCUAAACAAUAUACCGAAACCUUGUCCAUGAUAUAUUAUAAAAAUUUUUUAUAAUAAAAUGGGGUAGCAGAACAUUGAAUAAAUUUACUACUUUUAUUUUUCAAAUAAAAUUAACAUUAUUUAAUUCAAGUGAGAAUGGUGACAUGAGUAACGAAAAGAAAUAAUUUAAUAUUUCCGCCUAAAGCUUAUGGCUAGCGUUAAGUACGGCCUCUAAACUAAAGUAAUGCUAAAGAUUUUUAGUGAUGAGAAAAUCUAAAAGACAUUUGACCGCAUUGUAUGUGAACAAUGUGCUGGAAAAUUAACUUUAACCUAUUAAGUCAUAGUUAUCUUCAAAGAUAACAUAGAUUAAACCGUACCUAGAUACUGACACAAGUAAGCGAGUAGAGAAUACGAAGGCGUUGAG